AGAUCAAGUGCUGUGAGAGCUUGGAAGAGGCACGGGGCAAAUAACACUGGGGCUGGUGGUGGGAAGGCAAGUGACAGCCUCGUGGAAGAGGUGGCAUUUGACCAGAGAUGAGGACGAACAGAAUUAACAUAGUAGGCAUGAAGGAAGAAAAUGCGCCUGAGGACACAGCCAGCACAAAUGCAGAGGCAUACAAGUGCCUGGUACAGCUGGCAUGCAGGGAUGGCUGAGGAACUGCGGGGGCAGCCGGUGGGAUCCAUCCGAGGUAAAGGUUAGAGGCAAGUCUCGGAGAUGGAAACCCAAGGUCAUGCAGUUGUGCCAAUGCCCGUUGUUAGACAACAUGCUUCUAUUCCUGACAAACCAGUCUCAAGCAGCUCUGACUGAUGGGGCGGAUUUCAAUGCUCUCCAAUGACUUCCAAGUGUUAAGAAAAAGCUGCUGCUACCCUACAUGCCCAAGCUAUACGAACUACUUUUUUCCAGGCAAACAGGAUUCCUGCAGACAAUGCUCGGAUGAUGAAAUCUGAGAGGCUGGAUGACAGAGAAACCCACAUGCAUACACACACACUUUAUAAAGCUUAGGAACAAAAGCACUUUAUAAUCUCCUUCUGAUGCCAAGUUUACAGUGCUUCCAGAGUCAACAAAGGUGACUCAGGAGAGUGCACCCAGCUCCUUUCAGCACUUAUUUAGCUCAGCCACCUGUGUGAGCUCAAAGACAAGGGUGCCGACUUCACCUGAGUAGACCCUGAGUCACGUGAUUUCUUGCUGGAGAUGAUUCAGCAAAGGAGCACUAACCUCUGAGACAAGGCUUCAGCUUCCUGAGCUCUGCUGACUCGCCUGGGACUUCCCUAAGCCCUUCUGGACCUAGAUGAGGGCAAAACUCAGUGGAACCUCAGAAGCCCUAAAAAAAUGAUAGACUUUCUUUUGUCUCAUCAUUAUCAGCAUUUUGGGAUGAUUUAGUCAGCCUAAGAAACCUGAUGGCAUGUUGACACCAGAAAACAGGUAGUAUAUAUUCCCAAACCAAGUUAAAAAAAAUUAAGAAAUAACAGCUGGAAUGCCUUUUAUUUUUUCUUUACACAAAUGUGUGUGUCAUCGUCAUAUGCCUUUUUUGUGUUAAUUUCUGAGGAUCCUGCCAGUGUGAAUACUCCAUUCUCUGCGAGUCGCAGGUCAGGCUGCUUUUGAGGCAAGCACACGUUAAGUAUUGAGCAGAAACAUUUGAAGCAAAGAUGAGAAAGACAGAAGGGGAAGCAAGAAAAAUAGUCUUCCCAGUGUGCCUAUUUGGGUGCAUAUAAAGUUACUUUUAGAUGUGCGAUUACUGGUUAAUGAUUUGGGGAAUUCUUUUCAAGUAGAAAUCCUGGGCUAAAAACUAAGUGUGCUCAAGCUACCCCCGCACCCACUGAUUCUGCACUCCAUGGGAAAAGUUCUCACAAGCAAGUCCUUUGUCCACUACCCACGUCUAUAGGAAAUGUUUGAACAGCUAUACACAAAGAACUCACAAGUCCACAACCUCGGGGGUGUUGCGGGUGGAGAGGGCAGUGGUAAAGGUGAUGACAGGGAGGGCCUGUGGGGACAGUAAUAUUAGAUUAGUGGUCAGAAGAUGCUGGAGCCUGCCUUGCCAGUCACACACUUUUAGAGGAAUGCUGGACAGUACACACCCUCCCCAACCCUGAAUGUAGGCCCUCGCUGACAUCACGCCAGAUGAAGCCCUGAGGUCUUUAACAUCUGUAACUCUAUGGCAUGUAACAUAAACAGGUGUCUGACCAGUUUCCCCAGAUAUAGAAUAAUAAUAAUACCUUUCAUUUAAAAAGGUAAGAGGGAAUUCAACAAGCUUUCCUUCUUAAAUAAAUCUCCAUCUCAGGAAGCCAUGGAAAGAUGCCCCUCCCACACUAAGACUGUAGAGAGAGGCACUGUGAAGGUCUGGCUUGGAGAUCUCAGCUCUUCCUGCCUCUCAGGGGGAAAGGGCAGAUCCAGCAGGCCGGGAAAGGAUCUCCCAGGGUCCCAAGGAGGCAGCAUGGGGCAAAGUCCAACAGUGAGGAUUCUCUCCUUCUCUGGUCUCUUUUCUGUUAAAAAUGCUUCUUUGGGGUACCCUUCAUUACUACCCUGGAGGUUGAAGGACACUUCUUGAGAAGGCAUAGAUACUCUUCAGGUAUGCUGAAGAAAUGAGUUGUGCUAAAACCACUGGUUAAUUUUGUCUGUGGCAAAAAAUCAUGAGGGUGACAUAGACUCCCAGGCCAGGAACCCGAGACUGGAUUUAAGAGAUGUGGCCAGGAUCCACAGGGGAGCUUGUAUGUGGCUCACAUCAUUAGCUCUUUCUGUAUAUUUGUAUUGUAAACCAUUUCCCUUCAUUUGUGAAGAUGGAGAUCACUUUUUCUAUACAGGCUAGAAAUGUUUCUUCAUACACACACGCUGAGCUUGUUUAUAAAAGAUAUUCAUUUAUAUGGUGGUUUUAACAACUUUUCCAUGUGGAAAUUUUAGACGACAGUAACACAGACCCUCAUGUACUCAUCACUCAGCCUUGAUGGUUACUGACACAUGCCCAAUAUUGUUUCAUCUGUUUCUCCCCACAACUCCUGGAUUAAUUUGAAAGAAAUCCUAGAAGUCACUUAAUCAGCAAAUACUCCAGUCUGUUGGUCCACUCCUUAUACAAUAGCCAGGGUGAUCUUUUACACAUGAAGUAGUGAUUGCAUCACUCAUGCUUGCUUGGAAUUCUUCAAAGACUUACGUUGGCACUUCAGAUAAAGUGUAGACUCCUUCGCGUGACCUAGGAUGUCCUUUGGGCUCUCACUGUUCCCUCAGCCUCCUCACCUGAAGCUCUCACUGCCCCACCCCUUUGCUCAUCACACUCCAACCCGCCUGCCAUUGAGCUACUCAAAUGGACUGCUCCUUUCUCAAGACCUCUGCACACUUUCAAGCCUCAUUUCUCUUCAGCCUUUAUUAAAUGUCAUCUCCUCCAGAUGGCCUCCUUUGGUGGCCCAGGUCAUGUUAGAUCUGCCUGUU
ensembl:lncRNA novel transcript, antisense to PRKCH